UUUUAAGUCCCGCUGCUCGAUCAGUUUCUCUGACGACUCUCUUUUAGUUUCUCUCGCAGCUCUCUUCGCGCCUCCAUCGCUCUCGUCGCUAGCUGAACCUGCUCUCACUUUCGUGUUCCGGUGACGGUGAGAUGGAAGAAACUGAUUCAAAGAUGUGGCCAGAGUUAAUAGCUAAGGCUUUUGUAGACAUCUUGGCUAAAAAUCAAAUGAGUGAAGCACUUGUUGCAGCAUGUGCUGAAGCAUCCAAGGCAAAAGCUGAGAGAAGUAAGGAGGCCACUUCUUCGUAGGAUUAUUCUCUUGCCAAGUGUGUGAUUGCUCUUGAGGAGAUGGGGGACGAUGCAGAAGAUUGUUUUAUGGAAGCCUUGAAAACUUUGAAGAGCGACCUUGAAUGGAGAGAAAUUUUUCUUACCCUGUCUUAUGACAAGAAAAAGCGAUGGCUACGUCUUGUUGAAAAUAGAUGGUUGUGAGUAUUUUGUUAUUGAACUUUAUGAUUAUGUCAUUAAACUUAUGAGUAGUUUGUGUUGGUGAUGAGGCUUUAUGGCCCUUUUUUCUGUUAUUGAACUCUAUGGUUAUGUCAUUGAACUUACGAGUUUGUGUCUUUAUCAAA